rnacentral:rRNA from 1 species
UGCCAGCCGCCGCGGUAAUACGGAGGGUGCGAGCGUUAAUCGGAAUUACUGGGCGUAAAGCGCAUGCAGGUGGAUGAUUAAGUCAGAUGUGAAAGCCCGGGGCUCAACCUCGGAAUAGCAUUUGAAACUGGUCAUCUAGAGUACUGUAGAGGGGGGUAGAAUUUCAGGUGUAGCGGUGAAAUGCGUAGAGAUCUGAAGGAAUACCAGUGGCGAAGGCGGCCCCCUGGACAGAUACUGACACUCAGAUGCGAAAGCGUGGGGAGCAAACAGGAUUAGAUA